rnacentral:tRNA from 2 species
ACUUAAAUAAUUUAAAUAAAAUAUUGAUUUGUGGAAUCAAAUAUAUGGUCUCCAUUUUAGGUU